UACGUAGGGGGCAAGCGUUGUCCGGAUUUAUUGGGCGUAAAGAGCUCGUAGGUGGUUCGGUAAGUCGGAUGUGAAAUCUCCAGGCUCAACCUGGAGGGGUCAUUCGAUACUGCCGUGACUAGAGGUCGGUAGGGGAGUGUGGAAUUCCUGGUGGAGCGGUGAAAUGCGCAGAUAUCAGGAAGAACACCCGUGGCGAAGGCGGUUCUCUGGGACGGUACUGACGCUGAGACGCGAAAGCGUGGGGAGCGAACAGG
rnacentral:rRNA from 1 species